rnacentral:lncRNA from 10 species
CGAGAGGCGUCGGGAUCGCGGGCGCCGGCUGAGCCAGCGGCUGCUGGGAGGCUGUGUGCGCACGCCUGCGGGGCGAGGAGGCCGGGCCCUGCGCCUCAGGCCUGAGAACUGGGAGGAAGCUGGAGAAAAGAUGCCCUCUGAAUAUUUGUGUUUGGCUGCCCAGGCUCGCCUUGACUCCAAAUGGUUGAAAACAGAUAUACAGAUGGAGUCUUGCUCUGUUGCCCAGGCUAGAGUGCAGUGGUGCCAUCUCGGCUUACCGCAAGCUCCGCCUCCCGGGUUCACGCCAUUGUCCUGCCUCAGCGUCCCGAGUACCUGGAACUAUAGGUGUCCACCAUCAUACCUGGCCAAUUUUUUGUAUUUUCAGUAGAGACGGGGUUUCACUGUGUCAGCCAAGAUGGUCUCCAUCUUCUGACCUCGUGAUCCACCGGCCUUGGCCUCUUAGAGUGCUGGGAUUACAGGCAUAAGCCACCACUCCCGGCCGAUAUAUUGGUUUGUUUAUGAAAAUUAUACUGGAUCUGUUACAGAUGAUAGUGUCAAACCAAGUGGAACAAAGAAAGAAGAUCUGGAUGACAAAGAGAAAAAAGAUGAAACUCCUGCACCUGUAUAUAGGGCCAAGUCAAUUCUGGAGAGCUGGGUAUGGGAGUAAGCAACCAGGGAUGUUCACGGAACGCCAGGCACCAAAAGGCCAGAAGCAUGCCCCUGCAGGACCAGCACUUGGCUCUGGCCAUCCUGCUGGAGCUGGCUGUGCAGAGAGGCACGCUGAGCCAAAUGUUGUCUGCCAUCCUGUUGUUGCUUCAGCUGUGGGACAGCAGGGCACAGGAAACUGACAAUGAGCGUUCUGCCCAGGGCACCAGCACCUUGCUUUUGUCCUUGCUGCAAACGUUCCAGAGCAUCAUUUGCGCUUUUGUCUGGCCCUCUGAGCCCCAGUGAGAGUUUCCUGAGGUACCUCACCCUCCACAAGACAACGAGCUUGCCAUUGAUCUGCAACAAACGGCAGUUGUUGUCAUGGCCCAUUUAGAAGAUCUGGCUACACCCUGUAGAUGCCUCUGCCGUGUAGCUGUC